ACCAACACAAAAUGGAGUUCAAGUGCAGUUUAAUUUAUUUCUUAGCAAGCUGUUGUCUAGCAAAUUGCAUCACGCUCCCACCUGAACUUCAAGAGUACGUAGAUGACCUGCACAAAAUUUGCGUACAGAAGAGCGGCAUCACAGAGGGUGACCAUGCAGCGUACGAUAUUCAGAACAACCCUCAUGACCCGAAGCUUAUGUGCUACAUGAAGUGCUUGAUGCUAGAAGCCAAAUGGAUGGCACCAGAUGGAAAUAUCCAGUACGAUUUCAUCAUCGAAACGGCUCAUCCUGAAAUCAAAGAUUUGCUUGUUGCUGCCAUAAACAAGUGUAGGGUGUUUGACGCUGGAGCUAACUUAUGUGAAAAAGCUUCAAACUUCAACCUGUGUAUGUAUGGAGCAGACCCAAUCAACUGGUUCCUGAUAUGAGAUGGGAAAGGCUGUUGAAGAAAGAUACAUUUUCUCACUAUCAUCUUGGUUGCAGCUGUUCUUAAAUUAUACAACUUUUUAAUAAAGCG
rnacentral:misc_RNA from 1 species